rnacentral:tRNA from 1 species
GGAGUAGUAAUCCUAAUUGGUAAGGAAGUAGUUUGCUAAACUACCAGUAAUCGGGAACGAUGUGCAGGUUCGAGUCCUGUCUACUCCGCCA